rnacentral:lncRNA from 1 species
CGGGGCUGGCAUUGCUCUCAAUGACAACUUUGUCAAGCUCAUUUCCUGGUAUGACAAUGAAUACGGCUACAGCAACAGGGUGGUGGACCUCAUGGCCUACAUGGCCUCCAAGGAGUAAGAAACCCUGGACCACCCACCCCAGCAAGGACACUGAGCAAGAGAGAGGCCCUAUCCCAACUCGGCCCCCAACACUGAGCAUCUCCCUCACAAUUUCCAUCCCAGACCCCCAUAAUAACAGGAGGGGCCUAGGGAGCCCUCCCUACUCUCUUGAAUACCAUCAAUAAAGU